GCUUCCCAGCCCUUCCCAGCGCUUCCCAGCGCUCGGCGCCAUCACGCCCCGCCGCCUCCCGCUGCGCUCGGCCCCAGGCCCGGCCUCGGGGUCUGCCGGGCGAGGUGCAGAGGGCCUGGGCCGGCCUAGGGUGCGCGGCGCAGGGUCCGAGGGCUCCUUCCAGGCGCCCCCGCCCCCGGCCCUGCUCCCGGGCCGCGCGUGGGCCGCUCCAUUGCUGUCGCUGCGUGCAGGCCCGCCGGGUCUAGUGGUCCUAAACAUUUCACAAUUGCGCUACAGAACUGUUGAACUGUUAAGAACCACUGAACCCAGCGCGCGAUCCGCGUCCGCCGCGCUGUGGAGAGAAGAGCCCCGCCGCCCGGGACCCCGGCCGCGCGCCCCGACUCCCGGACACGCAGGGGGAGCGCGGCAGCCGGACCCAGCCCCGACCGACCGACCGCGCCCGACGAGCCCCCGCGAGCCCAGCCGUCCCGGCGGCGCGUCCCCUCUGCCCACGGCCCCGCGAUGCCCGGCGGUGCGUCCGUGCGGCGGCGGCCAGUGCCGCGGCGCCUUUUAAGCGGGUGGCCGCCCUCCCCCGCCGCCGGAAUGCGCCCGGGCCGCGCCGGCCCGACCGGUUUUUCCGGGCGGGGCGGCUCCCGGGCCGGCAGGUCGCGCGGCCGGUCGUCCGCGGCCCCGGUACCUGCUCGGCGCGCCCACGCGGGGGUGGCCCUGACUCACCGGCCUGCCGGCCCCGCCCGGCCCGCUGCCCCCGGCGCCCCUGGGGUCCACGCUUCGGGCCCGGGAACCAUACCCGCACCGUCCCGCCAGGGACCCGGGGCGCCCGGGCUCACUGCGGGGAGGUGGGGAUGGCAGCCGAGUUGGUGCCCAGGUGAGGACCGGAGCCGGCAGAAGCCCGGGACCCGGGUACCGCCCAUGGGUGGCGGGAGGGCCGGCUGGACACGCCCAUCCGUGUCCCUUCUCACUUCAAAGGGAACUUCGUGGGAGAGGGGAGGAAGGGAACAAAUGGAAAGUGAAACUAGAGGGAGGGUGAGGACGCGCCGGCAGGUUUCUGGUUCUCAGACCCUGUCUCCUCCCAGAGGGUAAGGAGGGCAGCCCGGACCCCUCCUCAGAGCCCACGCUGGAAGCCCCAUCCUGCGCCCACACUCCCCACCCUGGGCGGCAGGGGAGCCAGGGCACAACAUUCCUGUCCCCGUAGAGCCCUGGGCCGGCACCCCGCAGCCCCGUGCACCCCGGCCUGCCCACUUUAGUCACCUGGACAUGUUGGGGCAGCGGAGCUGCCCACUGGGGGCUAAUGGCAGAGUCCAAGCUUUAGCAAAGAGAAAAUUUGGAGGGAGGUGACCCCUAAAGUCCUCGGCCCAAACCCUGAGCCACUGGUGCGGCCCGGGGGUGGGGGGGGGCGGCGGGCGGUCACCAUCGUUUGGCCAAGUCCAGGGUGGCCACACAAGGCCGCGCCACCAGCUGCACCCCCGUGUCCCCUGGGCUCGGGAGCCCAGGCUGGUCCCAGGUCGGGGUGCAGCCACCGAGGUGUGACGGACCCUCUAGACCUCGUCACACACGCUGUGUGCGGUUUACCUGCACCAGCACCCAGUAACGUGAGUAGCAAAGGUUUCAUCGUUUCCAUUUGCAGUUGGGGAAACUGAGGCUCAGAGAGAGGCAGUGACUUCUCAGAGGUCACACGGCGCUCCAUGGUGGAGCUGGGACUCCACACCCCACAUCUCUGCUGAGUCCACAGGCCUGAGUGGCAGUGUGUGUGGGCAGGAACUGGGGGGAGGGGGGACAGAGGUGUGUAACCAAGACAAUGAGCUUGGGCGCUCCUGCCCCCCCACACACACACGCACACCCCCGUCACUGCAUGGGCGGAAAGACCCCACCUCUCCUGUCCCCUGUUCUCGGCCCUGGUGCAGCCCAGUCCGGGGCAGACCUCUCCCUCCACACUGCCACUGUUGCCGGCACCAGAGGGGACUGGUAAGAGUGGAGAGGAAGAGGUGACCAGUACCAGUGCCUGGGGCCCCCACUCGCAGCAGGAGGUAUUGAGGUGUGACCUGUAGCUGGGGUGAGGGCGGCCCUGACUGAGAAAUCUAAGGACGGAAGACACUGGGUAAACGUGGAUAACGGCCUAAAUGAGAGAUGUUUCCCAGCGAUAACCCUGGGAUCCCAGUGACAGGAGAUGGGCCGUUGGGAGCCGGAGCGCCAUCCCAAGUGAAAUCACUGGGUGCGAGCCACGCAGCUCCGGCCCCUCCGAGACCCCGAGGGGGUCUGGGCGCCUUGCACGUGUACCCCGCCCUCGCCAAGCUCGCCUCACUCCCGCAUUUCCCACCAGCCCGGCGACCUCUCCCGCUGGCACUACCUUCAAGAGGUGAGGAGGCCGGUGCAGUGCCAGGCGGGCUGGUAGCCCAGCUCUGCCACGUGCCUACCUGGGACCCUGAGCACAGGCCUGGGCCUUAGUUUCUUCAGCUGUAAAGUGGGAAGGAAGAUGGGCUGGUGCCCAUUCGGGGGCGUCGCGGGAUGGAAGCUAGCUCCCGGUAGGUGACCCUUCAACUUUGUUAUUCGCAGGGCUACCCCCGCCUUGCGCGCUGGGCAAGGAGGGCGGCCCCUUACUCCCCUGCUGCGACUUGGCCACUCUCUGAGGAAUGGCCCUGGGGAACUUUCCAGACAGAUGUCUGAGACUUUCCAGAGCUUCCUGGGACACCUGCCCAGUCCAGGAGCCGCUCACUGUGGGGCUCUGCAUCCCCCAGGUGUGGGGAGGGGCCUGAGAAGUGGGGGCCUGGAGGGGAGCUCCCCGCAUCCGCCCCGCUGGCAGAAGCCUCUCCCCUCCCCUCGAUGACCCACUUGGGGAAAAGCCAGUGCAGCGAGUGCUCUCGCCCUGGGACACCGGGUUCCAGUGGGCACCCCUCCACUGGCCGGCUUUCUGGGAGGGAGGGCCCAUGUGGGGUAACUUGAGGCAACGCAGCUCUCACGAUCUGGGCUCCGCGGGGCCUGGGAGACGCGCUGAGUGUGGCGUGGCCGUGAGCACAGGCUCUGCCCCAUCCGGUCCCCCGUCCCUUGGCAGCAGAGCCAAAGGGGAUGGCUGUGUCUGGUGAGCUGCUGUGUGCCGGGCGCCACGGAGGACGUGGGGAUGGGUACCGGUCGUGGGAUGCGGAAGGUGCUCUCCAAUUGUCCAGGUGUUUGUCCAACGGUCCUGCCGCCUCUGGCCUUCUGAGGGUCCCAGCCCACCGGCAACCGCAGGGGCUCCCGGCUCUGGAGCCCCAGGGCCCCUCUUCCCCCCAGGCCCCAGCUCACUGGGCUGUCGUCAGGGUAUGGGGCCCCACCACGCUCGUGUGGUGUCACCUGUUUGUGCAAGACCCAGGCACACCCGUGUCUGGGCAAGAUCUGGAAGGCUGCCAGCCCGGGCCUGGGAACCGGGCUGAGAAGCCUGGGGGUGCGGGCGGAGCCGCCCCCGGCCCAGCGCCUCUGGGAGAAGCUGCAUGGUGGGUGCAACGGAGAGCUCUUUAGGGUCACCUUUGCCCUCAUGCUGGGCCCAGCGGCUUCCUGAGCCCCCAGCUCAGGGGCCAGACGGACAGAUUGAAGGCAGUCCUUACGGGGGCAGUUAGAGAGGGGCCAAGGUGGUGGGGGACCUGGAGCGGGGAGGCUCCUCACGCCCAGCAGGGCCGGGGGCGGGGUGGGGGCGGGAGGCCUCAGGCCAGCCCAGGCCCAAGGUCAUGCCCUUGUCGCCCCACCGGACUGCUUCCGGUGCUUCCGGUUCAGGCCGUGGGUCCAAACACCUGAUUUCAGCCCCAGCGGGGCCUCUGGUAAGGCACUGACACUGGCCUCAGAGAGCCACACCCACCAGGCCCGGGCCUGCCCUGCCCAUCCCACACCUGCGCACAGCAGGGCGCUCCCACCCACCCAGGCUCCCCAGGAUGGGCCUGGCUCAUAAGAGGCAGCAGGUCUCGUGCUACCAGCAGAUCAGGGGCUGCAAUGAACGGGGCCAAGGGGCCGGCACACCGCAGAGGCCCCUGUGAAGAACGGAUGAGGGGCACCGGGAGAGCAGGUCUCAACAGGAAAGAAUGGCUUACGCUGCAGCAGGACAGCUUCAGGUUAGACACCAGGCAGCACUUCCUGACAAUGGGAGGUCUCUAGAGGAGUGGAGGCCCAGGUACUGUAUGGGGCCAGAGCAGACAGACAAGCCCGGGCACCUGUCAGUGGGAAGCAGCCUUUCACAGGGGAGGGACCCAAGGACCUGAGCAAACCCAACCAGCCUGGAGGGUUUUCUGGAAGGCCAGCUGAUGGGGUGGGGGUGGGGAGUCAGCUGGAACCUGGCCCACCCAGCCCAGUGGGUGCUGGUCCUGCUGGGGUGGGGCAGGGCGGGCAGGCCCCCUCCAGGCUCGGGGAGCUUCUUGACCACGGCUGGGGCCUCCAGUAACACGGCAGGGUGCGCCAUGGGGCAGGGUGCACUAUGGGGCGGCUUGACAGGACGGAAGCAGGGGGUCUGGGGUUGGCCCUCCCUCCAGGCAGUUUGCAGCUUCCCACAGAGGGUGCGCCCCACCCACAGGAGGGGCCCUGCAGGCCCCACUGACUUAGACCAGCUCUGUCCCCAGGACACAGUCCCCACCAGGUCCAACCCCACAGGGGGGUGGGGGACUUACUGGGCCCAGGGCCUGGUCACCAACCCCACCCUGAAGGCUCUGCAGAAGGGCCACCACUUCCAGGUUCCCAGCUGCCUCUGCCUGCAGGGUGGGUGAGGGGGAACGCGGGAGGGGCUGCCUCAGGGACUCGGACCAGCAACCUGGCCCUGAACCCCGCCUCCCACCCCCAGUGGCCCACCAGGCUGCCCUCCCACCCACGCACCAAGGACCCCAUGACUCCUCCGUUGCCCUUGUCCCCACAGGUCUCGGCCCUGGGAGGGAACCUGGGACAGGAAAAGGGACAGCCCUCCCACCCCUGUGGUUCCCGCACAUGAAGUGCAUCCACCCGGAGAGCAGGAGUUGGGCAUUUGGGAAGCGGGAGCCAAUGGAGCUGUCAGGGAGGCCUUCCUGGACGAGGUGGCCUCAGAGGGCACUGGCAGCACUCACGACAUGCAGGGCGCUGCGCCCAUCAUAGCCCGGCUGCCUCAGGUCGGCCCCUGCCUGCCACCAUGCCCGCAGGCCUUCACAGUCUGCCCUGGAUGCCAGCCUGGGAGGGGGAGUAGAGGACGGGGAGCCGUCAGAGACCACCGGGCACAUGUCCAUCUGCCCACCGGCACUUUUGCAAAGCCAGCCCCCAGCAGCUGACCCAGCAGUGCCCGAGCCCUGGGGCGGGAGCGCAGGAGUCGCUGCAGGCCAGCUGACGGCCUGGAGUCUGGUUUCACCCAGCAGGGGUGACUGGGACUCAGGUCAAGGGUGCACACACGAAGGCACACGCGUGAGGAUGCACGCACGUGCACACCACACACACCCCACCGGCUGAGUGCCGCCCGCCAGUUUCACAUUUCACAACACAGCUCUCCCUGGCGGGGCCCACAGAGGCAGGCCGCAUGGGGGGGUCCUGGUAGGAGGGGGCCUGGGCCUGCCUGCCCUAGGGAGGUGGCGGGGGACUCACAGCGCACCUCCCGGGCCCUCGUGGGGUCGUCUGCAUCCUCCCUUUGCUCUCACCCUGGGACCAGGCAGGGAAGGGGUCCAAGCCAGGUGUGCUGGCCAGGACUGCCGGGCGGAAGGGCCAUCCCCCAACGGGGCCCUAGGGACUCCCUCUGGGUCAGGAAACGGCAGCAGCAGCCCCCAAAGCGGCGCUGGGUCAUCCCUGAGGUGAAUCACGCUGACGCUGAGGGCGCCACCACCCGCCCCGCCCCCAGAUCUGCCUGCAGGCCUCUCGCGCUGGUUCCCACACACGCUCACCUCCUGGAAGAGCUGGCCAAGGGCCCCCCACAAGUCCAGCCAAGCGGCUCAGGUCGGAUGACCCACUCCCGUGGGAGCUGCUGUCACCUCCCCCCUCUGCCUGUUGCCCCAUCUGUCAACGGAGCCGUCGAGGCCCACCUGGGGUGCAGCUCUGAACCAAGUCACCCCAGAAGUCCCUUCAGAGCCAAGACCCUCCCCGCCUGGGCCCCGCCACCAUCCCGCACAUCUGAGACCCCCCAGCCCCGCCCGCCUUAGCCCUGUCGGUGCUGAGAAGAGGCAGGUCAGCCAGCAGGAUUCGUCCCCCCAGGGACGCUGCACUCCAGGGAGGGAGGGGCUGAGGCCAGUGGGCUCUCUCCACCCCACUGUGUCUAGGACGGGGGCCUCCAAGGCUCGGGGGUGGGGGGAUGGCCGGUGGGGACGAGGGGGCCAGAGCUUCAGGUCCUCUUCCUGGAGAGCAGGCAGCCACCCCUCCUCACACCACAGCAGCCACGGUCUAAGACACUGCCCUUGUCACCCAGCCCACGCCUGGGGGCUCUGACUUCCAAGGCGCUUCCGGCCCCCAGCCUGCCCCCCCCUCGGCCCCUCCCCUCCUCGAGGCCUCAGACCUGCCCAGGGCAGCCCGGGCUGGACACAGGAGGGGCUGGUGGGCAGGGCGGGGUGGGGGGGAGCCACGGGGAGGGUCCCGGGGACGGAGGAAGGAGCGGAGGCUGGCAGCCCUGGGCCUGCCCCCGCCCAGCCUACCACCACCCCUCCCGGGUCUCAGCCUCCCCAGGUCUGCCUGGUGGCCACUCAGAGCGGCUGGGGUCAGAGUCCUGCUGGCAGCUGACAGCCGAACGCCGACCAGGGCAGGGUAGCUGCUGGGCCUUGGUGUCCUCCCCACGGGAACAAACGCCACCCUCAAGUGCUCCAAGGGCCCAGCGGGUGCACGAUGGGCUCUCUCCCCUCUGAAGCCCGCGUCCCAGGAAGCACAGGUAUGCCUGCGACCCUCACCUGCAGAGCUCUGUCCCCGAGUCCUCCAGUUCCUGGGGGGACAGGCAGGCCCCAGCCCCCCGCAGCAGCCCAAUGACACCCUGAUGCCUGCCGUGAGAAACAGCGUGGUGACCGCCUGCCCGCCGCAGCCUCUGCGAGACGCCAGCAGGGCCUUGUCCUGUGCCCAAGACCAGGAACCCACCCUCCCCAGACUAGGGCCACCCCACCUCGGUCCCCAGCACCCAGACCCACGCCGGGGGGGCGGUCAGUCAGCCCCGGCUGUGCAGCACCUCCGUCCGCAGCACCCCCGCCAGAGGCCCCGAGGCCCCGCUCUGGGCACCUUCGGACGGCCCACCCUGGAGGAGUCUCCCUGCCGAGCUCACACCCGCCAGGGCCGAGUCUGGGAAAACGGAAUCCCUUGGGCCAGUAGUCUGCCCUUGGGGAUGGGGUGGGCAUGAGACAUUGACGGAAGAACGUGGGCGUCAGGCUGGCCCGGAGCGGGGCCCAGAGGCCUGUGGGUGUCAAGGCACCGGCUCCGAGCCCAGGAACAGAGAGCACAGAGCCCCGAGGCUGCCCCUUCCCCAGUUUGGGGGUGUACCAUCAACUGCAUGGUCACCCCACUUUUAGGGAGCUGGGGAGGAGAGUGGGGCCCCCCCACCCCCCCGGAGCCCUCCAGGGUGAGGCCAGCCCCUCCAGGGCACAGCAGGGCCCGCUGGGGGGUGAGCCGGGAGACCAGUUCGGGAGGCGAGGGAGCUGCCGUGACAGCCAGCUGGGGACGAGCGGGUGGGACCAGGACGGGGUGAGCUCACCACGCUGCCACCCACACCCAAGUGUGAGCCGCAGAGUCUCCAGCCAGAUCACCCGGCCUGGGCGCCACGGGCACACCCCACGUGCAGCCCUCCCCCUCGGUCCCCCACCUGUUCUGAGAACCCUUUGAUGCUCCCAGGAGGCUGGGAGGGAGGGGCUACCCCGCUGCCCACUGCCCCAAGGGUGAGGCGCCCUGGCCCAGGGCUGAGCCGAGCGGUCUGGUGGCCUGGGCUCUGCAUAAGACUCAUGAGACCCCCAGAAAUGACCCAGGGUCCUGCAGGCCGAGAGCCCCUGGGGAGGGCCCGGGCCCUGGCAGACGCUAAACCGAGGCCAGCUCUGCAUUCGAAACAGCAAGACUACGAGGGAUGGGAAGCAAGGCCUGUGACCCCCGUGUCCCAGACACACCCUCACACCCGGGCUCCCCAGUGCGCUCACACACACACGUAUGUGAUGGCCCUCCCAGCUGCCGGGCAAGGGACGGGGAAACAGGUGGGAGAGUGGGCCCGCCCCUGCCCCUAGGUCUUCCCAGAAAGUUCCAGGCCUCGGAGCAACGUAAGCCCCUAGAAUGCAGGGCCAAGUGGCUACCAGGCCCCACCCGUGCCCAUCCGCCGUCAGAGCAGGAGAGGCCUGCCCCUCGGAGAGAUGCCAGGCGGGCCGGGGAGGACAAGGAGACGGCCGCCCCAGCAGAGGACACGGGUACAGGUGUUCACCAGCCCCGAUGCCUGCUCCUCCGGCCUCGGCUGGCUGGCUGCCCGCCCGCCAGGCCCAACCCCAAGGGAAGGGGUCAGAGCCUGUGACCCCGGCUCCCGGGUGGUGACCACCAGCUCGUGUGUUUUCCUUCACGUUGAUCCUCACACAACCCGCCCUGCAAGGUGCCGCCGCCCCAGCCUGCAGUGCGCGUCACAGGUGAGCACACAGGGCGGCCCCUCCAGGGGGCCCCAGCCUCUGGCCUUGGCUUCAGGGCAGGGGGCCUCUGCUGCUCCUUAGAAGGAACCAGACGUCAGGUGCCCACAAUGACUACCCAGGGCCCUCGGGCCUCAGCAAGAGCUCAGCUCUGCAACUCUCCACUUGGGCGGGGGCCCCCAAAAAAACCCAGGCUGGGGCCCUGCCCUAAAGAGCCAGGAUUUGUUGGAUGGGGCCAGCUUGGGGGACCCCCCCACUAGCAUGCAUGCUGAGCCUGGCCCCUUGGGGACCUGUGCUCACCAGCCCAACGUCUGGCACUAUGUCACCUGCUCUGUACCUGCUCCAUCCCAGUGCUGGGUUGGGGGUUUCUCCCCUUGCCCCACCCCCAGCCCCUCAGGUGGAGGACGGAGGGAACACACAUGAGACCCCUGUGCUCUGUAAGCGUUUUCCUUUUCUAGAAAUUCCGUGCCAGGGUCUUGCCGGGCCUGCCUGGCUCAGCUUGGUGGUCACCUCCAGGAAGCCCUCCCUGACCACCCUGCCCAGAGUCAGUCCUCCCAGUCUGUAGGGCCCAGCUGGAGGUGGGCGAGGCUCCGGGAAGCAGGCGUCCUUGGUCCUACCUGGCUGUGCCUGGGGGUGCUGUGUGACCACAGGCACACCGAAGGCCCCCUCUGAGGCAUUCCUGUCCAGGCCCUGCCCACACAUCCGCCACAGUGCCCGCCCCCCCCAGCCCAGUACCUGCCCCUCACGGC